rnacentral:sRNA from 1 species
GACAUUGCGGAAAGCGUUUCCAAGGAAAUACCUGCCAAAGCGGAAUAUAUAGCUGAACCAAUAGAAAAUAUCUAUUUAAAGUUGAAGCGCGCCUCUUUACACUCGGGCAAAUUUAUCGGUUGAAUGAGAUAAUGGGAAAAAUAAAUGAAAAUUUUUAAAAGAACUUAUCUCAACCGCACCACAGCCAUUAAGCAAUAUUUAUGCCUCUUUAGUUGAAAUAGAAAAAAAUACAAAAUAGAAAUAUACACCAAGUGCUGGAAUACCAAUUGUUUGAAAGUGGAAUAAAAAAAUCCUGUGAUGAUUUAAGUGUUUGUGUAUGUGUGUAACUGUAAGUGUGACUGUUUUACCUGAAGGAUACAAAGUGAUUUUGCAAUUGUGUGAAAGUGUGUAAAAAAUUAUUCAUUCUUUUAUUAUAAAUCGGAAAUUCGCAAUCAAUGAAUAUGAAUAUUUAUUAUUGAUAAGAGAAAGGAAGAGAGAGAGAAGAAGGAGAUAAUAAUAAAUACAACAAUACAAAAAAAGAUAUUAUCAUUGUGUCUGUGCUGGCUACUGUUUAUGUUUUUGUACACACACCUGAGUAACAACACAGAACGGAAAUGCUCGUUUUGUAAUCAUCGGAUUUUGAGCCCCAGACUCAAUUCAUCACCUAGAAAAAAGGCAAAUGUUGUCUGUUUGAAAUAAUACUCACACACAUGCAAAACACACAAUAAUACCAUCAAAUGGAAACCCAACAAAGCAAUAUUUUACUACAAAUAUCAAAAGUUCAUUUGAGAUAUUUCAAGUGUGAAAUAACUUCUUGAAACUCAACAUCUCAACCACAGCCUCCUACAAACAUUUUUAAAACAGAAGUUUUACAAAAAUAAAACAAA